rnacentral:rRNA from 1 species
UUACUAGCGAAUCCAGCUUCACGAAGUCGGGUUGCAGACUUCGAUCCGAACUGAGAGAGGUUUUUGGGAUUAGCAUCCUGUCGCCAGGUAGCUGCCUUCUGUACCCCCCAUUGUAACACGUGUGUAGCCCCGGACGUAAGGGCCGUGCUGAUUUGACGUCAUCCCCACCUUCCUCACAUCUUACGACGGCAGUCUCUCUAGAGUCCUCAGCAUGACCUGUUAGUAACUAAAGAUAAGGGUUGCGCUCGUUAUGGCACUUAAGCCGACACCUCACGGCACGAGCUGACGACAACCAUGCAGCACCUUCACAUUUGCCUUGCGGCUAACCUGUUUCCAGAUUAUUCAAAUGCAAUUUAAGCCCGGGUAAGGUUCCUCGCGUAUCAUCGAAUUAAACCACAUGUUCCUCCGCUUGUGCGGGCCCCCGUCAAUUCCUUUGAGUUUCACCGUUGCCGGCGUACUCCCCAGGUGGAAUACUUAAUGCUUUCGCUUGGCCGCUUACUGUAUAUCGCAAACAGCGAGUAUUCAUCGUUUACUGUGUGGACUACCAGGGUAUCUAAUCCUGUUUGAUACCCACACUUUCGAGCAUCAGUGUCAGUUGCAGUCUAGUGAGCUGCCUUCGCAAUCGGAGUUCUUCGUGAUAUCUAAGCAUUUCACCGCUACACCACGAAUUCCGCCCACCUCUACUGUACUCAAGACUGCCAGUUUCAACUGCAAUUUUACGGUUGAGCCGCAAACUUUCACAACUGACUUAACAAUCCACCUACGCUCCCUUUAAACCCAAUAAAUCCGGAUAACGCUCGGAUCCUCCGUAUUACCGCGGCUGCUGGCACGGAGUUAGCCGAUCCUUAUUCAUAUGGUACAUACAAAAUCCCACACGUGGAAUACUUUAUUCCCAUAUAAAAGAAGUUUACAACCCAUAGGGCAGUCAUCCUUCACGCUACUUGGCUGGUUCAGACUCUCGUCCAUUGACCAAUAUUCCUCACUGCUGCCUCCCGUAGGAGUUUGGACCGUGUCUCAGUUCCAAUGUGGGGGACCUUCCUCUCAGAACCCCUAUCCAUCGUAGUCUUGGUGGGCCGUUACCCCGCCAACAAACUAAUGGAACGCAUCCCCAUCGAUAACCGAAAUUCUUUAAUAGUAAAACCAUGCGGUUUUAAUAUACUAUCGGAUAUUAAUCUUUCUUUCGAAAGGCUAUCCCCG